CACGUAGGCGGUUUAGUAAGUGUGAAGUGAAAGCCCACGGCUCACCCGUGGAACUGCUUUGCAUACUGCUAGACUAGAGGAAGGUAGGGGAGAGCAGAACUCUUGGAGGAGCGGUGAAAUGCGUAGAUAUCAAGAGGAAUACCAGUGGCGAAGGCGGCUCUCUGGUCCUUUUCUGACGCUGAGGUGCGAAAGCUAGGGUAGCGAACG
rnacentral:rRNA from 1 species